rnacentral:tRNA from 1 species
GCCUAGCUCAGUCGGCAGAGCGCGUGCCUUUUAAGCCCGUGGCCGCGGGUUCGAGCCCCGCCCGAGGUGCAGCA